rnacentral:piRNA from 1 species
AGAAGAAGAUUGAAGAUCUCCAGAGGC